rnacentral:rRNA from 1 species
AUGUUCUUUAGUCUAUACCCUGCAUUUUUUUAUAUCACCAUUUUGUUGAACUACAGUAAGUCUGUAUUAUUCUUUCCAUUUCUUCAGAAGACUCGAGGGGGGGCUCAAGGAUUUGGUCGCCCGACUCCUCGCAAGACGCCGCCGCCGCUGGUUCCUCCCCAAGACGCCACCGCCGCUGAUUCCUCCCCAAGACGCCGCCGCCGCCUCCUCCCCGCCGCCCGACGCCUCGACGCCGGCGUACUGGACUUCUCCCCGGUGGUAAGUCAUCGUCUUCCCUCCUUUCCCUCGUCUAGGGUUUGCCAUCGGCCAUGGCUGCUGCCGGAGUUGGUGCCGUCCCAGGACUGGCGGGAGGGGAGCCAGGAGGCGGGGCCGUGGCCGUACAUGGCGCCAUGCUGCCUCUCUUUCGGCCCCAUCAUCGAGCUGCUCAACUCCAGGGUGCUCUCCAAGCACUUCAGCCCCGCCUGCCCCAAGUACGGCCCGCCCAAGAAGUAA